AGAGUUUGAUCCUGGCUCAGGAUGAACGCUGGCGGCGUGCUUAACACAUGCAAGUCGAACGAAGCAUAGGAGUGGAAUUUUUCGGAAGGAAACAACUAUGACUGAGUGGCGGACGGGUGAGUAACGCGUGGGUAACCUGCCUCAUACAGGGGGAUAACAGUUAGAAAUGACUGCUAAUACCGCAUAAGCGCACAAAACCGCAUGGUUUGGUGUGAAAAACUGAGGUGGUAUGAGAUGGACCCGCGUCUGAUUAGCUAGUUGGAGAGGUAACGGCUCACCAAGGCAACGAUCAGUAGCCGACCUGAGAGGAAGGUCCCCCACACUGGUACUGAGACACGGACCAGACUCCUACGGGAGGCAGCAGUGAGGAAUAUUGGUCAAUGGGCGGGAGCCUGAACCAGCCAAGCCGCGUGAAGGAAGAAGGCGCCAAGCGUCGUAAACUUCUUUUGUCGGGGAACAAAGGGCGCCACGUGUGGCGUUGUGAGUGUACCCGAAGAAAAAGCAUCGGCUAACUCCGUGCCAGCAGCCGCGGUAAUACGGAGGAUGCGAGCGUUAUCCGGAUUUAUUGGGUUUAAAGGGUGCGUAGGCGGUCCGGAAAGUCAGCGGUAAAAGCCCGGGGCUCAACCCCGGCGAGCCGUUGAAACUGUCGGACUAGAGACGGCGAGAAGUACGCGGAAUGCGCGGUGUAGCGGUGAAAUGCAUAGAUAUCGCGCAGAACUCCGAUUGCGAAGGCAGCGUACCGGCGCCGGACUGACGCUGAGGCACGAAAGCGUGGGUAUCGAACAGGAUUAGAUACCCUGGUAGUCCACGCAGUAAACGAUGAAUGCCGGCUGUCCGGCCCGGAAAAGGGCUGGGUGGCGAAGCGAAAGCGAUAAGCAUUCCACCUGGGGAGUACGCCGGCAACGGUGAAACUCAAAGGAAUUGACGGGGGCCCGCACAAGCGGAGGAACAUGUGGUUUAAUUCGAUGAUACGCGAGGAACCUUACCCGGGCUCAAACGGGAGACGACAGGGGCGGAGACGCCCUCUUCCACGGACGUCUUCCGAGGUGCUGCAUGGUUGUCGUCAGCUCGUGCCGUGAGGUGUCGGCUUAAGUGCCAUAACGAGCGCAACCCCUGCCGACAGUUGCUAACGGGUAGAGCCGAGGACUCUGUCGGGACUGCCGGCGCAAGCCGCGAGGAAAGCGGGGAUGACGUCAAAUCAGCACGGCCCUUACGUCCGGGGCGACACACGUGUUACAAUGGCAGGUACAGAGAGAAGCGACACGGCGACGUGAAGCGGAACUGUCAAAACCUGUCUCAGUUCGGAUCGGAGUCUGCAACCCGACUCCGUGAAGCUGGAUUCGCUAGUAAUCGCGCAUCAGCCAUGGCGCGGUGAAUACGUUCCCGGGCCUUGCACACACCGCCCGUCAAG
rnacentral:rRNA from 1 species